rnacentral:rRNA from 1 species
ACCUGCCCAGUGACACUAUGUUUAACGGCCGCGGUAUUUUAACCGUGCUAAGGUAGCGCAAUCACUUGUCUUUUAAAUGAAGACCUGUAUGAAAGGUAUAACGAGGGCUUAACUGUCUCCUUUUUCCAGUCAAUGAAAUUGAUCUCCCCGUGCAGAAGCGGGGAUUUUUACAUAAGACGAGAAGACCCUGUGGAGCUUUAGACCCCGGGGCAGCUCAUGUUAAGAAACCCGACCAAGGAAAUAACUAAAUGAGCCCUCCCCCUGUGUCUUCGGUUGGGGUGACCAUGGGGUAAACACAACCCCCAUGUAGACAGGGAGCACUCCUCGAAACAAGAGCCCCAGCUCUAGUUAACGAAAAAUUCGACUUAAAAUGAUCCGGGUAAACCGAUCAACGAACCAAGUUACCCCAGGGAUAACAGCGCCAUCCCCUUCAAAAGCCCAUAUCACCAAGGGGGUUUACGACCUCGAUGUUGGAUCAGGACAUCCUAAUGGUGCAG